rnacentral:tRNA from 1 species
GGGCGGUUAGCUCAGCGGCAGAGCGCCACCCUUACAAGGUGGACGUCGCAGGUUCAAAUCCUGCACCGCCCA